UUGACCUCGAAUCAGGUAGGAAUACCCGCUGAACUUAAGCAUAUCAAUAAGCGGAGGAAAAGAAACCAACAGGGAUUGCCCCAGUAACGGCGAGUGAAGCGGCAACAGCUCAAAUUUGAAAUCUGGCCCCCCGGGGCCCGAGUUGUAAUUUGCAGAGGAUGCUUUUGGCGAGGCGCCUUCCGAGUUCCCUGGAACGGGACGCCAUAGAGGGUGAGAGCCCCGUCUGGUCGGACGCCGAGCCUCUGUAAAGCUCCUUCGACGAGUCGAGUAGUUUGGGAAUGCUGCUCUAAAUGGGAGGUAUAUGUCUUCUAAAGCUAAAUACCGGCCAGAGACCGAUAGCGCACAAGUAGAGUGAUCGAAAGAUGAAAAGCACUUUGAAAAGAGGGUUAAAUAGUACGUGAAAUUGUUGAAAGGGAAGCGCUUGUGACCAGACUUGGGCCCGGCGGAUCACCCAGCGUUCUCGCUGGUGCACUCCGGCGGGCCCAGGCCAGCAUCAGCUCGUCCCGGGGGACAAAGGCGGCGGGAACGUGGCUCCUCCGGGAGUGUUAUAGCCCACCGCGCAAUGCCCUGGGGCGGGCUGAGGACCGCGCAUCUGCAUGGAUGCUGGCGUAAUGGUCAUCAGCGACCCGUCUUGAAACACGGACCAA
rnacentral:rRNA from 1 species